rnacentral:lncRNA from 1 species
GACACUCCCAAAUCAUCCAUAAAUUCCAAUCUCUUGGCAUAAUUAUCUAAGUGCUAAAAGUGAGUCACACUCACCUUUUUUCAUCUUUUCUUCAUUCUUUCUUCCACUACAAAGCUUGGAACACCUCUAGGAGCAUUUCCACUAAUUUAGCAAGGUAAACUAAGAUGGAACAUCACCAUUUUGAGGUGUUGCAGGAAUUUGAUGACGAUGAUGAACAAAAUCUAGUGAGAUGCCUAGAAACGUACCAAACUUUAAUUCGUGUUUAUUAGUUUAGUCAUUCGAUACUUGUUCUAAUUUGUUUUGUUUCAAACUUCUUGUAAUUCUG